CUUGUACUCCCUCCGUCCGAAAAUACUUGUCAUUGAAAUGGAUGUAUCUAGAUGUAUUUUAGUUCUAGACACAUCCAUUUUGAUGACAAGUAAUUCCGUACGGAGGGAGUACUUG
rfam:Triticum aestivum genome assembly, contig: Triticum_aestivum_CS42_TGACv1_scaffold_185686_2DS